rnacentral:rRNA from 1 species
GACGAACGCUGGCGGCGUGCUUAACACAUGCAAGUCGUACGGUAAGGCCCUUUCGGGGGUACACGAGUGGCGAACGGGUGAGUAACACGUGAGUAACCUGCCCACAACUUUGGGAUAACGCUAGGAAACUGGUGCUAAUACUGGAUAUGUGCUCCUGCUGCAUGGUGGGGGUUGGAAAGCUCCGGCGGUUGUGGAUGGACUCGCGGCCUAUCAGCUUGUUGGUGGGGUAGUGGCCUACCAAGGCGGCGACGGGUAGCCGGCCUGAGAGGGUGACCGGCCACAUUGGGACUGAGAUACGGCACAGACUCCUACGGGAGGCAGCAGUGGGGAAUAUUGCACAAUGGGCGCAAGCCUGAUGCAGCAACGCCGCGUGCGGGAUGACGGCCUUCGGGUUGUAAACCGCUUUCAGCAGGGACGAAGCUUUUUGUGACGGUACCUGCAGAAGAAGCACCGGCUAACUACGUG